GUAAACGAUGUCGACUUGGAGGUUGUGCCCCUGAGGCGUGGCUUCCGGAGCUACGCGUUAGUCGGCCGCCUAGGAGUACGGCCGCAAGGUUAAACUCAAUGAAUUGACGGGGGCCCGCACAAGCGGUGGAGCAUGUGGUUUAAUUCGAUGUCGACGCGAAGAACCUUACCUGGUCUUGACAUCCACGGAAGUUUUCAGAGAUGAGAAUGUGCCUUCGGG
rnacentral:rRNA from 1 species